rnacentral:rRNA from 1 species
CUGGCUCAGGAUGAACGCUGGCGGUAUGCUUAACACAUGCAAGUCGAACGGGAUGCUUAGGCAUCUAGUGGCGGACGGGUGAGUAACGCGUGAGAAUCUGGCUCCAGGUCGGGGAUAACAGUUGGAAACGACUGCUAAUACCGGAUGUGCCGAGAGGUGAAAGAUUUAUUGCCUGGAGAUGAGCUCGCGUCUGAUUAGCUAGUUGGUGGUGUAAGGGACCACCAAGGCGUCGAUCAGUAGCUGGUCUGAGAGGAUGAUCAGCCACACUGGGACUGAGACACGGCCCAGACUCCUACGGGAGGCAGCAGUGGGGAAUUUUCCGCAAUGGGCGAAAGCCUGACGGAGCAAUACCGCGUGAGGGAGGAAGGCUCUUGGGUCGUAAACCUCUUUUCUCAAGGAAGAAGAAAGUGACGGUACUUGAGGAAUAAGCAUCGGCUAACUCCGUGCCAGCAGCCGCGGUAAUACGGAGGAUGCAAGCGUUAUCCGGAAUGAUUGGGCGUAAAGGGUCUGCAGGUGGAACUGAAAGUCUGCUGUUAAAGAGUUUGGCUUAACCAAAUAAAAGCGGUGGAAACUACAGAACUAGAGUGCGGUAGGGGCAAAAGGAAUUCCUGGUGUAGCGGUGAAAUGCGUAGAUAUCAGGAAGAACACCGGUGGCGAAAGCGUUUUGCUAGACCGUAACUGACACUGAGGGACGAAAGCUAGGGGAGCGAAUGGGAUUAGAUACCCCAGUAGUCCUAGCCGUAAACGAUGGAUACUAGGCGUGGCUUGUAUCGACCCGAGCCGUGCCGGAGCUAACGCGUUAAGUAUCCCGCCUGGGGAGUACGCACGCAAGUGUGAAACUCAAAGGAAUUGACGGGGGCCCGCACAAGCGGUGGAGUAUGUGGUUUAAUUCGAUGCAACGCGAAGAACCUUACCAAGACUUGACAUCCUGCGAAUCCUGGUGAAAGCUGGGAGUGCCUUAGGGAGCGCAGAGACAGGUGGUGCAUGGCUGUCGUCAGCUCGUGUCGUGAGAUGUUGGGUUAAGUCCCGCAACGAGCGCAACCCUCGUUUUUAGUUGCCAGCAUUAAGUUGGGCACUCUAGAGAGACUGCCGGUGACAAACCGGAGGAAGGUGAGGAUGACGUCAAGUCAGCAUGCCCCUUACGUCUUGGGCUACACACGUACUACAAUGCUACGGACAGAGGGCAGCGAGCCAGGGAUGGCAAGCGAAUCCAGAAACCGUAGCUCAGUUCAGAUCGAAGGCUGCAACUCGCCUUCGUGAAGGAGGAAUCGCUAGUAAUUGCAGGUCAGCAUACUGCAGUGAAUUCGUUCCCGGGCCUUGUACACACCGCCCGUCACACCAUGGAAGUUGGUCACGCCCGAAGUCAUUACCCCAACCGAAAGGAGGG